GGGCCGCACGCGCGCUACACUGACUGAGCCAGCGAGUUAAUCACCUUGACCGAGAGGUCUGGGUAAUCUUGUGAAACUCAGUCGUGCUGGGGAUAGAGCAUUGCAAUUAUUGCUCUUCAACGAGGAAUACCUAGUAAGCGUGAGUCACCAACUCGCGUUGAUUACGUCCC
rnacentral:rRNA from 1 species